GUUUCCUGUAACGUGCAUUCCAACUACUGAGAAAAGUCUUCAGAGCAUGAAUCUUUAUAAUUUGUUUAUGGUGAAUUCGUUGUGAACUAUUUAAAAGAAAAAUAAGUGGUUUUCUGUAAGUAAAAUUACAUGGAAAUGUUCAACUGUAUGCAUGUUCAAAUAUUUGCGAAAAAAAGUUUGGGUUUGAUAUAAAAUCUGUAAUUUUCGUUUAACAAUAAAACCGUUGUUGUACAUAUAUGAUUAAGAUAUUUUAACUGGAUAGGUACAGUCCUGUCAGUAGGGACUAAUUCACGUAAGGAAUAAGUUUUCCUCAAAUGGCCUUUAAUGUUAAAAGAAUUCUUUAAAUUCACAUUUUUACACCUUAAUUUAAUAAUUAUAGUACAAAGUUUUGUAUUGCCUAUUGGUAAAUCAAGGAUUCUCAAGGGGCAUAAACUCAAGAUAUAACAGCUUCAAGUCCUUUAAAAUUCUUUAUUACUAGUAAAAACACACAAAAUACAUAUUGAACACUGUUUUUUAUCGAUUCUUACUUAUUUGGGAGAAUAAUGUCCUGUUUGAUAGAUUGCCCAAUCUGUUGAGUAUCAAUUUAUACUAAAGGUGUGUGCCUAAACCAAAACACUGGAAGCACAUUUUGGAAACAAGUUGUUCACACAUGUUGGAUAAUGCCAUAAAUGAGGGGUUAUAUCUCUACAAUGAAUGACCAUUGGAGGUAUCCGCAGCUACAUUUAGUUAAAAAAAAUUGCAAGGGUUCCGUAGUCUUGCCUUGUUUUGCUGUUAAUCACAGGCUCAACAAAAAUGAGGAAAAAAUUUAAUAAUGAUUAAUUCCUCUCAAUACUAUCUUUUGUUUGAAAGAAGCUUAUUCUGUCCAAGUUUGGUAAAAAUCCAGGAUGGUUUACAUGGUUUAUGAAUCUAAUAAAUGUUUCAAAAACUUUAACCGCAGACUGUAUGUAAUAAUAACUGGAAGAAAAACCCAAGUCCAUUUAUAAGUUAAAAACUGAAAAAAUGGAUAUUUAAAAAGUUAUUUCGGGAUACUAUCUUAUGAUCAUAAACAAGCUUCUGUCCAAGUUUAAUAGAAAUCCAGGAUAGUUUAAAAAAGUUAUCAAAAUUUUUAGAAACUUUAACCACAGAGUGAAUGUUAUUUAAGGUCAGAAAAACUAAGUCCAUUUACAAUUAAAUAUGGAAAAAAUGGAUUUUUUUUUAUUUUAUCUUAUGAUCAUGAACAAGUGUCUGUCCAAGUUUGGUAGAAAUCCAGGAUACUUGUAGUUUAAGAAAGUUAUUAAAAUUUCAAAAACUUUAACGAGUGAAUAUUUGUGGCUCUGCCACUGGAGACAAGGACAGACUGUAGGAUCGCUAUGUCUCGCUUUUUCGACAAAAGUCGAAGGCUGGACAACUAGGUUUAACCCUUUAUUUUCUUCGAAAAUGACGAUGUAUGGUUUGAACAUGUACAAACUCAAGUUUAUAACAUAUGUUUUUCACUUGUUCCGGGAUCGGUUGAUAACAAUUCAUUUGCAGUUUUUCGUAACUAGCAAAAUAAUGACUAGUAAAAAGAAAAUUACAAUCAUUUUUUUUUACAGUUUUGUUGAUUAAUUAUAUUGAAACCAAAAUACCCCUAAAAUUGUAAAUUGAUUUGGACUGAUAUUAAAUGACUGUGGACUUUCAGGAAAAAAACUCCAAUUAUAUUUAGAUUUCAUAACACAAGACUAGUCAAGAAUGUUAGUUUAUAACAAUAACAAAGAAAGUAAAAGGUAAUAUAGAUGUUGUUAAUUGAUUAAAGUAGAUAGAUUAUUUAAUUAUUUCCUGGUGAGUUUAUGUCACUAAGAGUUUGUUAUUGAAUAUCCUAUAGGUUUAUCAUCAUUAGUUACCGAGUGAUGGUAAUUUAAUCAUGGGCUGUGGAACAUCCCGAGUUAACCCUGACGGGGAAAAAGAAGCAGCCACACCCAGACCUAACCCAAACAAGAGCAGAAAUGGAUUAGUACCGAAUGGAGAAACUAAAACAUUUGAUAAGAAGACAGCUGUGGAUUCUAAUGCUAACAUUCCCAGUCAAAGACCAG
rnacentral:lncRNA from 1 species